CAGUAUGCUACCACGAUGCCCGUUGUGAAACACUACGGUUCAUCGACAGAAAAUCGUCCUCAAAAAAUUCGAAGGUUAACCUACGAAAAAAAGUCAGGCGCUCGCUCCCUCGUGCCCUCGAUGCACUUGCCCACCGCCACUCUCCUCUGCCCCAACCCCAACCCCGCCGUUGCCUCAAUCCCACCGUCGUCGGCCUCCUCCUCCUCUAGCGCCGCCGCUCCAGCCUCUCACCUUCUCAGCCUGGAUCCGCGUGACAAGGUGUGGGGCUAUGGGAGAGAAGGCUCCAUAUCACGCGACAAGGUGAGGGGGCGCCCAGAUCCGCAGCGGCACCACCGCGCCCUCGUCCACCUGGCCCGCGAGGUCGGCCAUGGAGGUCCGGCCCGACCAAUGGAUGGAUGGGGAUGAAACCCUAGCCCAACACCCACCCAUGGAUGGAUGGGGAUGGGGCGACGACGGCGGCGGCGGCGGCCUUCUCUCGGUGGUUGCUGAUGUGGUGGACAUCAACGUCGGUGACGGGUUGCAGCACGUAGACAUCAAAGGCCGCGGGUGUGACGGAGGAGCACUAUGGCGGGCGUGCAGGCCAUGGCUCGCUAUGGAAGGCCCUUCCCUUCCCUCUCUCUGUUCAGGCCAUGGUCAGGCAGUCUUUUCUGGCUAGAGCCCAACACAAAAGCCGUCCCUAAUGUUGUUGCUGCUAAUGCCUACACACACACACACACAGAGAGAGAGAGAGAGAGAGAGAGAGAGAGAGACAAGAGAUUGUUGUGACGGAAAACAUUGAGAUCUAACAUAAGUACCCGCGCAGGCAUUGCAUUUGUUGAAUGCAAAACAUGAAAAUAUGAAAAAUCUACUUCCAACUAAAAAUGGUCACCAGCAAGCAGGUAGAUCCACAACUUGGUGGAUGGCAUUUCAAGGCACACUAUUCAGGUUAACCCCAAUGCAUGGACUACAAUCUACAUCAUCCGCCAAAUGACGGCAUCAACAGAGCCUUGAUUGCUCGAAUGGGCUGGGACCAGAUUGUUGUUUUACUGGUCAAUUAGUUCAUCGCGGACUCGAAAUACACGUGAUCUGAUGUCAGAUUGUUCACACAACGAUGCCCUUGCCACUUCUGCAGGUAAGAUGCGAUGAGUCAUGGCUGAUGUUCGAUUGUUUAGCACAUGGAGUUUUCGCCUAUCGUGUUGUCCGAUAGUUUCAGUUUAAUUGGAACAAAAUAACCAGGGGCACUCUCUAGCUAAUACUUGGUACUGAGUUGUACUUUAUCCUCCACCGUAUUGAGGUUAUCUAUGUCGACUAUGCAACGAUUUUAUCUUUUCUAAAGAAAACUUGAAUUUGAUGCUAGGCUAUUCCCAAAAGAACACAGAAUGAAUGGAUGGUUGGACUCAUUUCCUCACUCAUGAAAUGUGCCUGACAUCAGCAAACAUCACAAAAAGCAAAACCAGCUCAUUUUAUGCUAGCACAUUACCUGAAGUACAGUUAAAGUAUUAAAAUGAAGACUAUUGGACAAUGCAGAGCAAUUUAUUUUCCUUUUCUUUGUUGCAUACUUUGCAUCAAGUUAAAUUUCCCGUGUCUGCCUGAGAGAAAACCAUGCUUGUAUGCAUAAGAAAUCAAGCAAGACACAGUCCUUGGUAAAAAAGGUACAUACCGAUGAUUGUUUUCUCAUGUUUAAUGUUGGAAAUCUCGAGUCUCUCUGCUGCUUUGCAGCGAGACUUAUAUUCUGCGAGAUAUGGCUCUGUCUUUCUUGAAAACAAUUGACCUUUUGUUUUCCACAACAAAAACACACUAGGAAAUGCAUUUGUGAGAUGCCAACAACUUUUGUCAAUGUAGCAGUAUUUUUUGCAAGUCUGUCUGAAGAGGGCAGAAUCAUAUUCACGUAGAUAGAAAUGAUGGUGAUUAACCGACCAAGCCGCCGUCCAUUGAGUCUACCUGUUAGAGCUUGAAUUUUAUUGUUCUGUUCAUCAGUUUUUUUUGUAGUUUUCUUAAUGCACUGCAAAGCCCUCUCAUGUAUAGUGAUUUUAUUCAUAUAACUACUUUAGUUGGUUCAUCAGUUUAUAGGUUACCCCGUCUUCGACAAUGGAUGUCACGGCGAAGCUACUCGGUUACCUUGCUUCUCCAGCUCUUCCUGAAUGGUCCCCGAGCUAAACUCACUGGGACGAGUGAUCCUUGGGGAGGAGGACCAUGAUGCCGCUGUCUUGUGGCUCAUAGACAUAACCAAGCACAAUCUGAAAAAGCAUAAUUGACAGGGCUGCACAAUGUGCUAUUUUUAUUGCAACGAGGAGUCCAUUCAACAUUUAUUCCUUACAUGUCCGCUCACCAUGCUGUUUGUGGCGUUCUAUUCAUGAUGGUUUGGGUCUCCUAUCCCUUGUAUCAAUCAUCAAAAAAUAUUUAUCAAGGUUAUAAGGAAAAGGAGUAGCAGGAUGAUAGCUGAUGCUGCUCUUUUCACAUAUUAGUUGUAUAAUGUUCAAUCUUGGUCAUGCUAUUAUCAUGUAUAGUUAAAACAGUUUCAUUUAAAUAGAAUUUAGAAUUUUAGGUUACACCCUAUUCCCUUGCUCAUCGGAGGUACUGGAGACAUGUGUAGAGGUUUCAUUCUCAUGGAGGGUGACUCCAACAAUAAGAGCAGUCACAACAUCCUUGGCAGCAACUCUUUGAUAGUGGGAAUCAAGGCUUGGGGUUAAAUAUUUUUUGCAGAUAUGUGUCAUGCUUUGCGCUGAUCAUGGUCCUUGUGUAUCCGGUGCUCACAAUUCUAUACUUACUGAUAGGGCUGGAAGACCUUAUUUCCAGCUUAGUAUCUGGAUACCACAAGAGAUGAUUCUAAGAAGGGGUAACGGGAAGGUCCUGAAAAAGAACAAGCUGGAGAAGAUGGAGCUUAUCACCAAAUAUACGUGGAGGAAGAUGAAGAAGCAAGACCCUAAGGUGGACGGCUCUUAGAACAUAACUGACAAAUAAGCAGAGGUGCUAUGGAAUCCAUGGGUGGUAAGCAUUUUUAUCAGUAGUAGUUCCUCCCUGAUGUAUGUAACCCGCCAUGCAGUCGGUAUCGAGAAAUUCUGCUCCACUGCUUUUCUACUACAUUGAGGACUAUGAUCAUGUGUCUCGAAGAGAGGUUUACUGUUGACAUUUUUAUUUGCUUUGUAGCUUCAUAUGUUCAUACUUCCAGCAGAUAGUCUGAACAAAUAGUGCUGCAAGAGUCCCCUUGCUAUAAAUCGAGUUAACUUUUAGCUUUGCGGGUAGUCAACCAAAUUUUGGUACUUGGUAGGUAGCCCCUGCCCAUUUAUCAGCGACAAUUGUCAUCACCUUUGGAAGCAAUAGUUUGGUUCGGAUAAAGAACCAUGUUAUACUUGUUUGUUUUGUGUAUAAGCAUCAAAUCUUUCAAAUGGAUGUUGUGAUUAGAACAAUGACAAAUUAGUGUUCAUCACUAUUUAUUUUGGACUUGAAUGUACUCGAGCAUUUGUGUCAAGACUAAUAUUUUUCUGUUGAAAAACAUUUCUAAUAUUUUAGUUCGUGUGAUGUAUUUUAGAUAGUACUGCUUCAAUAUUGUGCGCUCGAUUGUUAUUACAGUUAACAAAAUAUUUAAAAUUCCAGUGAAAAUGUACAGCAUCCAAUAAUACAGUGUAUAUUAACAUUUAUAUGUGUUGAGACGUGCGUUGCACGUGCACGCGUACUAUUUCCACGUGUGAUAUGGGGUGUAUAUUCAAGGGUCAUGUACAUACUUGAGAAUGAAACCUCUACACAUAAUCUUCCACUGUACAUACUUGACCAAUAUGGAGUGUAUAUUCAACGGUCAUGUGAUGUAGAUACAAAUCUUUGUAAUCCUCAAGUGCGUAGCAGGACAUCAACUUUUUAUAGGUAUAGGAGGACAUACUAUUGUGCAAUUUCGGAACCUUGUCGAGCACAGCCUACAAAUCCACGUGUGAUAUUAUCUGGUCCUAUUUCCACUGUUUUUUAAGAGAAUAUAUGAUUGACCACUUUUAACCAAGUUGGUUCUGGUACAUUCAUCAAGUAUCGUUUGGUUUUCUUUCAGUUUAUGCAUGGAUCUUAUGGUGCAAGACAAUAUUUGUUCAACUCUGGGCCAACUUGCUACUGAUAAGAAUCAUCAGUAAUUGCAUUUUUUCUUGUGGGUAUUAUGAAUUGUUCAUUAGGAUUUUUGUUAACAUGCUCAAGUAACUUUUCUAGCAUCAAAUUCAUCUUAUCUUAUGAUGAAACUUACUGAUGGCUGCUUUUAUUUGCGUCAUCACACUACUUCAGACUUUGCAAGUUAGUCUAUCUCUGAAUCUCCAAGUGGCGUAGGGGUGCUACAUAAUGAAGAUAACAUAAUGCCUAUAUAGUUUUCCAUCCCUACAAUUUGCUAUGUUCCCUCUUUUAGACUGCAAUUUUUUAUCUGGGAAAUACAAAGUUUGCUUAAAUGGACCGGUAUGCAAUAGCAUAACACUUCAAAUUAUACUGAGUUCAUAAUUUAUAUAAAAUGUAGUAUGAUGUUAAUCCUUUCAUACUUAGUAGGGCCAGCUACAGAUGUGUUUCCAACAUGAUUUAUGCCUCAUGUUGAAUCCUUUCCUUAGAAAGAUUAAAUUUCCAACAUGGAACUUACACAUCUCAACUUUAUAUGUACUCAAUCAGAUUUCAUUCAUUCAUUUCAAAGUGUAUAAUGGAAAGAGGCACACCACAACAUUUGUAGCGAUGAUUUAUAAAUUAUAGAUCUUAAGGUGUGUUGGACCCAAACAACUUACUAUUUUGUUUUUUUGCUAAAAUAAGGAGGGUGAUGCAAAUAGUAGUGUGAUUGUAACGUGAGUCCUUAACCUCUCCGUCUGCUCAUAAACCUUAUCUCUUUUGCUUCAGAUCAUAUUUUUCUGCACUUCUCUGUUUUGAUCUUUGUGCUUGAUCUGAGCCAAGAUAAUGCAAAAAAUGGUUAUGGAAAAAUUGUGUGCGUUCAUGACAUAUCUGACCGAUUGCCUAACUGCUGCCUUUUAAUGUUCUUCCAGGGGAGACCUGAGACUCACGACCUAGGCGACCGCGGGCAGUUGCCGCUCUCCAGUCAUGCCACUUCACCACUAUGGGAGAGUAACCUGAUGUAUUUCUACCUCUUAACACUAGAUGCUUACGAAUGGUCGUUUGUAUUUUGAAAUUGUCUUGGUCCCUGUUCCAACAUGUAGAAUACAUGUUUUUGAAGAUAAAUGCAAUUGUGUGUUUCUAAUUCAGAUGCAAAUCAAUCGGUCAGCUAAUUUCAGAUUA